rnacentral:rRNA from 1 species
CAAUAGCGUAUAUUAAAGUUGUUGCAGUUAAAAGCUCGUAGUUGGAUUUCUGGCUGGAGCGAUCGGUCCGCCCCGCAAGGGGUGUGUACUAGCGUCGUCUCCGACCAUCCUUGUGGGAACUGUGCGGCCGUUAACUCGGUUGUAUAUGGGAACACAUCGUUUACUGUGAAAAAUUAGAGUGUUUAAAGCAGGCUUAAGCCGUUGAAUACAUUAGCAUGGAAUAAUGAUAUAGGAUCCACGUCCUAUUUUGUUGGUUUCUAGGACGAGGAUAAUGAUUAAUAGGGAUAAUUGGGGGCAUUCGUAUUAACACGUCAGAGGUGGAAUUCUUGGAUUGUGUUACGACGAACUACUGCGAAAGCAUUUGCCAAGGAUGUUUUCAUUGAUCAAGAACGAAAGUAAGGGGAUCGAAGACGAUUAGAUACC